UGCUUGGGAUUCUCUCUCUCCUGCUCUCUCUGCCCUUGUCCUGCUCAUGCUUUCUCUCUCUGUCUCUCAAAAUGAAUAAAUAAACUUAAAGAAAGAUAAAGCACUCACACAUUAGAAAGAGAGAUAUUUAGGCAUUAACUGGGUACUGUCCAUCCCCAUUCAAGUAUUAUCAUGCAAAAACUAUCUGCUUUAUAAAGCUGGUUCUAGGGAAGGCAUAAUACCUGGGACUUGAUUCUUCAGCUAGAUUGGACAAAGGAUGUUUGAACCGCAAAAUCAAGCCAUCUACCACACAAGUUUGUCAAGAUUCAGUUCUGAGAACAACCAACGGGUUAUUAUAGAAAUUUGCUCAUUACACAGGCUUUUUGGGGCACUGAACUGUGGUGACAGAAUCUGUUUUAGGCCUAAGGACACAGCAGGAAAUAAGACAGGCAAGAUCCCUUUCGUCUUAGAGCUUUCAUGAUAAUGGAGAAGACAGGUAAUAAAGUGAUUCCCUUCUGCUCUGCAAGAGAGCAUGCAGAAAGAUGAACCUUAAAACUGCAAACAGUUUGGCCACAUUGCCCAUCUACAAGGCUGCCCAGCUUCUCCUUCGUUCUAGGGGUUCAGGGUCUGUGAACUGACUCCGAUCUGGGAAUUAGGGAGUAGCUGUGGCUACUACUGUGGCGAUCCCAGUUUGUAUGUGUUACUACACUCGGGGUUGUGUUGGUAGUACACGUCAAGGGGAACUUUAAGGUAUCGCUCAUCUAUUUCUGGCCUCGGGACCCACUGUCAGUUACCCCUACAUUCCCAAGAUCUCUGUGGGUCAACCCGUUCUGAUGAUCACUCUGUCUUUGCUGCCUGUUAUAGUCACCGUACUCACCUUGCCUCUGGCCGGUUAAGUACCGCUAUUUGGUUUUUGCCAUCUUGGACAUCGCUACAUCCUCACGGAAAUCAUGGAGUCCACUCUUAAUGGCACAUCUCCUAUCUCCAUCCCUGCCUUGCAGAAGUCAGCCAACGAAACACCUCUCAAGGAUGGCGGUGCCCCUUUUGUCAGUGUAUUUCUGGGUAAAGGGCAUGGACUCUAGUCCUCUCGGGACAUAAUUAGGAGGCGGAUGAGCAGGUGACGUGAGCGAAAUCCAUGCCAACGUGCUUGUCCCCUACGUCUUUGCGUUACUUCUACGUUAAACGAAAGAAACUCAGGAUCUCUAGUUCUGGCAUCACGGGUCAUGGUUGAGAUCAAGUUGCAGUGAGCCUACUGAACGAACGAGUCCCAGUUGCUCACACUAGCACAUCGAAUCCACAGAGCAACGCAUUCGGCUCUCUGUAAAAUUACAUUCCUCCUUUGCUGGCCCAGCAUCCUCAGCAUGGAAAUACAGAUUUCCUGGAAUCUUGCUACUGGUUUCCUGGAAUCUUGCCAACGAAUUGUACUUGCAUCAAAAACAAACAGAGGAGGUGGCGGUCGGGACCCUUUGGUCCCUUCCAACGUGGGCAAGGAGAAGAAAAGUUCUUAUGAAAGGUGGAGAUGGGGCGCCUGGGUGGCUCAGUUGGUUGGGCGUCCGACUUCGGCUCAGGUCAUGAU